UACAGAGGUCUCAAGCGUUGUUCGGAUUCAUUGGGCGUAAAGGGUGCGUAGGCGGCGCGGUAAGUCGGGUGUGAAAUCUCGGAGCUUAACUCCGAAACUGCAUUCGAUACUGCUGUGCUUGAGGACUGGAGAGGAGACUGGAAUUUACGGUGUAGCGGUGAAAUGUGUGGAGAUCGGGAGGAACACCGGUGGCGAAGGCGGGUCUCUGGGCAAUUCCUGACGCUGAGGCGCGAAAGCGUGGGGAGCAAACGGG
rnacentral:rRNA from 1 species